UGAGGAACAUGACCUUCGGCGGGGGAGUAGCCGGCCCAACGGCCGGGUAAUACCGCGUACGACCACUUUGGGACAUCCCUCGGUGGUGAAAGCAGCAAUGCGCCGAUGGAGUGCCUCGCGGCCUAUCAGCUAGUUGGUGAGGUAAGNCNCACGAGCGACGG
rnacentral:rRNA from 1 species